rnacentral:lncRNA from 1 species
AGCCCAGUUCGGAGAGCUUCCUUGCAAGCCCCCAUCCCUCCAGGCGUCUCUUGACAGAGAUCAGAAAGUCAAGAAAGUCAAGAGAGUGGACUACGUGGACUUUAGAGUUGGUUCUCAGAUAGAUUGAUGGGGGAAGAACGGAAAGAAUAAACAGCUCUCAGGAUCCAAAGCCUCUUCGAGGUCUACAGAUGAGAGCCACCUCCUCGCAGGGCUUCUCUCACAGGCUGUGGCGCCCAGCCACUGACACUCUGAAGGAAGCACCUAUGCCAUCCGUCCUCUGUAGCCUCCCUCCUACCGUGAAUACAGACACACGUGACACAAGGGAUCUUUCAGUCAGACUUUCCAGACUAAAUCCCACAUCUCCCUCUUACAAACAGUCAAGACUGACUCGGUGUCCAUUUCUUCUGGUGUAAGCUCAGGGUUAAAAAAAAAAAAAAAAA